rnacentral:lncRNA from 1 species
GGCACCGGCCCCGGGCGUUAAUGCGCCGCCGGGCUGACCGCUGGGACGCAGCGCGGAGCCAUGGAGGGGCCCGGCCAGGACGCCGAGGAGGUGAUGCGGAGAAACCUGGACCCCGAGGGCUACGAGGACCCGGGGAUCAAGGUCUCGAGGAUGUCGCUGGAGGAGACGAGCAGUGAGUGGCACCCACGGGCGGAGGGGGGAGCUGGGGGCGCGCGGGGUGGUGGGGGGGCUACGUGGGGGCCAGAGGGGCAGGGGCAAUGGGACCAGCACUGGCAUUGCAUGGCUGGUGGCACCGCAUGGGCACCGGUGUCGGAUGAGCACCGGCGUUGCAGAGGUGGCAGCGUUGCACGGAUGGGCGUUGCACGAGCGGUGUUGCUGCACGGGCACCUGGGCUGCACGGGGACUGGCACCCUGUGGGCGCUGGCACGGCGUGGGCACUGCAGGGGGCACAGUGUGGGCACGGCAGGUUCAAGGGCGCAUGUUGCAUGGGGUUCUGCGGGUGCCAGCGUUGCACGGGCACCAGCAUUGCAUGAACACCGGCAUGGCAUGGGUGUUAGCGUUGUGCGGGCGCGUUGCACGGGCACUCGGGUUGCACGGGUGCAUGGCAAGGGUGCCAGCAUUGCAUGGGCAGCGGUGUUGCACAGGUGCCAGCACGACAUAGGCGUGUUGCAUGGGCACCAGCGUUGCAAGGGUGCAGGUGUUGCAUGGGUGCCAGCAUUGCAUGGGCACUGGAGUUGCAUGGGGCCAGUGUUGCAUGGGUGCAUUGCAUGGGCACCAGCGCUGCAUGGGUGCCAACGUUGCAUGGGUGCAGGCGUUGCACAGGCGUGUUGCAUGGGCACCAGCACUGCAUGGGUGCCAGCGUGGCUUGCUGAAACCCUGGAGGUUGCCAGCGGGAAAAGGAGAGAUGGCCAAGCCUGGGGACACCGAGGUCCUUGGGUGGGCGGCGAGGGGCGUUCAGAGGGGUCUCGUUGCCCCUCUUCCUUGCCCGCAGCCGGGUUUUUAUGCUCGAUGCAGCAGGGUGGCACCUCUCCGGUCCCCACCGGCUGCCGCUGUGCAUCCCAAAGGUCUCGGUGUCCCCAGCCCCCCAGGGUCCCCUCCAUGGGGUGACGCCGGGUGGUGACGUUGGCCAUGGGGUGGGGUGGUGGCUGUCCCCAUCCCGCGCCCACCCGAGGUAACGCUGCCGCCCGUUCUGCGCAGGGGCCGGCGGCGGCACCGGGCCCCCUUUGGCCGCGCGGAGGGCGAGAGGCGAGGAGCUGGCGCCCCUGCGGUGAGUCCCACGCGCGGCUCGGCCC